UGCGAGUCGAGCGGUAGCAUUUCUAGCUUGCUAGAAGAUGACGAGCGGCGGACGGGUGAGUAAUGCUUGGGAAUAUGCCUUUGAGUGGGGGACAACAGUUGGAAACGACUGCUAAUACCGCAUAACGUCUACGGACCAAAGGGGGGGAUCUUCGGACCUCUCGCUCAUUGAUUAGCCCAAGUGAGAUUAGCUAGUUGGUAAGGUAAUGGCUUACCAAGGCGACGAUCUCUAGCUGGUUUGAGUGGAUGAUCAGCCACACUGGGACUGAGACACGGCCCAGACUCCUACGGGAGGCGGCAGUGGGGAAUAUUGCACAAUGGGCGAAAGCCUGAUGCAGCCAUGCCGCGUGUGUGAAGAAGGCCUUCGGGUUGUAAAGCACUUUCAGUUGUGAGGAAAGGGGUGUAGUUAAUAGCUGCAUUCUGUGACGUUAACAACAGAAGAAGCACCGGCUAACUUCGUGCCAGCAGCCGCGGUAAUACGAGGGGUGCAAGCGUUAAUCGGAAUUACUGGGCGUAAAGCGUUCGUAGGCGGUCUAUUAAGCAAGAUGUGAAAGCCCAGGGCUCAACCUUGGAACUGCACUUUGAACUGGUAGACUAGAGUACUGUAGAGGGUGGUGGAAUUUCCAGUGUAGCGGUGAAAUGCGUAGAGAUCGGAGGGAACAUCAGUGGCGAACGCGGCCACCUGGACAGAUACUGACGCUGAGGAACGAAAGCGUGGGGAGCGAACAGGAU
rnacentral:rRNA from 1 species